rnacentral:snRNA from 1 species
GUGCUCACUUCGGCAGCACAUAUACUAAAACUGGACCAAUACAGAGAAGAUUAGCAUGGCCCCUGAGCAAGGAUGACAGGCAAAUUCAUGAAGCAUUCCAUAUUUUU